CUCAAGGAAGCACUUUGUCCACGUGAAUAGAAAACGUGUCCUUGAGGGCGCGCUUUGUGUCCAUGUAGAUAAAGCGCUUCUUUGAGG
rfam:Gossypium raimondii chromosome 11, whole genome shotgun sequence.